rnacentral:lncRNA from 1 species
UCAGGUUAAUAUGUUUAUAGAAAGCGUGUAUUUCAAAUCAUUUUUUUUCCUUCUUCUUCAAAAAAGUAUAAUUUUCCAUCUUCCCGAGUGUUGAUAAUUAUUCUACGUGUGUCCCACAUCUUUGUCUUUUGGAUCCUAAUGUGACCUCUAGGAAUCAUAGGGUUUCGAUUUGUAAAGGUGUUAUCGUAGUAAUUUUUGGAUGACAGGUCUUUCUCUAUCUUCUUCUCUUCACCCUCUUCAAGUCGGAAGCGACAUAUGAGUGUACAAAAUCGGCAAUGCUGGGAUCCGAGUUAUUUUUGAGUAGCAGAAUACCCAUUGGGAUGGACUGAGUUUGUCAGAUCUGGGUGUAUUUCUCCAUUCCAGGAGUGAUGAACGAAAUGAAGCCCAGUCAUUAUAGUUUUUGAGGAACAUUUUCAUGGAUUUGACGUUGACCUCUGCAUGCCCGUUGGAUUGGAAAGAGCAUGGGUAUGCAAACCCAUGCUUGAUGCCUAAAUCUUUGCGAAUUCUGUAUGGAAUUGUGGUCCACCGUCCGUUCUAAUAUAGAUUGGAAGCCCCCAAUCUUCAAACCACCCUGAAUCACAACAAUGAGAUAUGUUUUCCCGUUGACCUUUAAUAGCUAGAAAGACGCAGAUUCAAAGGGCCUUGACACUGGAGAUUGUUGGAGUGAUUCUAUAGGCCAAAAAUAUAAAGCCUUAGCUCCUUCACAAUUUCUUUGAAUACCUUGCGGGAAUUUAUGAAGCUCUUUGUAGAUGUCUUUACGGUUUGAGAUGGGAACCACAAUACAAUGACCAUUAUAUACUAAUAAGUUUGUGCUUUCAUGUAUGUGAGAAGAUCCCACUGGUUGAAGAAUAAUCUUGCUGGAUGGGAAUAAAUGAGGGCUUUGGGAUUCAUAUUUUUCCUAUGAGCUGAUUUCACUUCUUGAUAUGAUAUUUUCUCUAUUCAGGCAUCAAUUAAAUUUUCAAUAUUAAACUCCUGGAUUAAAUACUGGGGAAUGUGAAAAGGCAUCAUGUAUUUUUUGACUGUUCUUUCCCUGGGACAUAUUCAAUAUCCAAACAGUAUCCUGCAUACAUUGCAUCAUUGAAUAUUCUAUUAAUUAUAUUUUAUAGCCACGAAACAUUCCUAUGAGAAGUUUAUGGUCUGUAAUUAUUUAUAACUGAUUUCCCAAUAAGUAAUUCUAUAUUGGAGGAUGGCCAAUUGAAUGGUCAAGGCUUCUAAUUCACAAACUAAAUAUCUCGUUUCAGUUUCGUUCAAAAACCGUGAGCCACACUGAAUUAAUCUAGAGGAGUCAUCUCUGUGGAUUUGUAGGGGAGCAAAACCAAUUCCCUGAAGACGUGAAGAAUGUGUUAGACGUGUAAUGAAAAGGUUUGGAUCGAAGUGAGCGAAAACAAAGCCUUUUGCAUAAAUUAGGCCGUUGUGGAGAGUGUGCUAAAUCUUGAAGGAAUUUACCUUAUUGAUUACCAAGGACAAAGAAUGGUCUGAGAUCAGUCAAAUUGCUCGGUGAAGAAAAUAGGUUAAUGGA